rnacentral:rRNA from 1 species
UACAGAGGUCUCAAGCGUUGUUUCGGAUUCAUUGGGCGUAAAGGGUGCGUAGGUGGCGCGGUAAGUCGGGUGUGAAAUCUCGGAGCUUAACUCCGAAACUGCAUUCGAUACUGCCGUGCUUGAGGACUGGAGAGGAGACUGGAAUUUACGGUGUAGCGGUGAAAUGCGUAGAUAUCGUAAGGAAGACCAGUGGCGAAGGCGGGUCUCUGGACAGUUCCUGACGCUGAGGCACGAAGGUCAGGGGAGCAAACGGG